rnacentral:rRNA from 1 species
CAGCCGCCGCGGUAAUUCGAAGGGGGCGAGCGUUGUUCGGAUUUACUGGGCGUAAAGGGCGCGUAGGCGGCUCAUUUUGUCAGGCGUGAAAGCCCCGGGCUUAACCUGGGAACUGCGUUUGAUACGGAUGGGCUAGAGUUCGGGAGAGGAGAGUGGAAUUCCCAGUGUAGAGGUGAAAUUCGUAGAUAUUGGGAAGAACACCGGUGGCGAAGGCGGCUCUCUGGACCGAGACUGACGCUGAGGCGCGAAAGCGUGGGGAGCAAACAGGAUUAGAUACCCUGGUAGUCCACGCUGUAAACAAUGUGUGCUAGACGUUGGGGAGCCUAGCUCUUCGGUGUCGCAGCUAACGCGGUAAGCACACCGCCUGGGGAGUCCGGCCGCAAGGUUAAAACUCAAAGGAAUUGACGG